UGCAUUAAUAUUUUUAUUGUCUUUGGGUACGUAACUGAGUAGUGGAAUUACCGGCUCAUGUGGUAUUUCUAUUUUUAAUUUUUUGAGGCAUCGCCAUACUGUUUCCCACAGUGGCCGCACCAGUUUACGUUCCCGUCAACAGUGCAUGAGGGUUCCAUUGUCUCCACAUCCUCACCAACACUUGUUGGUUCUUAUCUUUUUGAUAUCAGCCGCUCUGACAGGUGCGAGACGACAUCUCACUGUGGUUUUCAUGUGCAUUUCCCGAUGAUGAGUGACGAUAAGCACCUUUUCACUGGCCCGUGGGCCAUCUGUCUGCCAUUAUCUGCUCAAUAUUCCACGGUGCGUUAAAAUAUAAUCGCAACCAAUGCAAGUGGAAUGGAGAGCACGUGACAAAGAGAAAAGCGAGGUCUUCGUUUCUCAUUCUGCACAGGCGUUUUGCAUCUUUAAAGAAGAAAAAUGUCCGGAGCCUUUGGAGAAAAAAUGAUCAUACAGAAGAACCUCAGAAAACAACAAUAUUUAGAGCUCAAAGAGGACUUGAAAAUCAUCUAAUCCAACAUUUCCAAAUGAUAUAGAAACACUUCCUAUGAGUCACAAAAGGAAGAAAAACAACCAACCAAAGCAAACACUUUCAUUCCUAGGACCUUGCAAAUGAUUUUUACUGAGAAGCCUUAUUCCCAAGAAUUCUGAUGCCAGCUGCUGAUACAAUACAGGUUCUACCUCCCCAAGAGAUUGUUAGACGUGAUCCACAUCUUGCCUCCGAGAGGCCCUUUAAAAUGAAGCCUGUCUGCAAAUUGGGAGGACCCCAAACUAG